UUUUAACCCUUCUACCUCUGGGGGUUCGAAGAUUGGCACCUCUCUUACAACCGCAACUGUGAAAAAUGAGUUGUCGCCAAGUAAAGAAGACUGUGAUCCUCAAAUGGAAUACAAAGAGUCAGACUUGGUGCAACGUGACAAACCCGUGAUGGAUCAGGCCCAAGAAAAGGAUCUAAAAAAGGAUUUGUCAGUGGUCUGUAGUCACCACCUGCAGAACCACUCCUUUAUUGGGGGUGUCU